AUUGGAGGCAGGAGGAAACAGAGGAAGCAAGAAGAAUUUCCUGGAAGGUAAUUAUUGUAAUAUAAGCAUACUUCGGAGAUAUUGCAGGUUCCGUUCCAGACCACUGCAACAGUGAAUAUCUCAAUCAAGAAGAUGACCACGGCCCCUCUGUUCCCUCGCCUGUGUGCCAAAUGGAUCCACAGCUAGAGACAAGCUCCUUCCCUUUGAACGGUGGGAAGCAGGCCAAGAUGUUUUAAAGACAGAUGGCAUCAGAUGCAGAGAAGCAAGCUGGAACUCGGAGCACAGCUGCCUUAUUUACUUACCUACUGGCUGCAUUUCUGAGAACCAGUUUUAUUCCUGUUCAAAGGAAGCCAGGCAGAGUUGGGAAAAUAUUUUCCUAGCCAGCUCCUUAGCACCACUGUCUGAGGGAAACCAUCUGGCCAAGAUGCCCUUCAAACUUCUUCUCGGCGCUGCAUUUUGAAUUGUUUCUACUAGUGUAUCUUGAAGUUUACUAAGCUUUUCUUCUGGAGUGUCUAAGAUGCUGUUCAUCUCGGCCAGUAUUUUUUCAUCUGUAGAAUUUAAUUCAGUCUUUUUUUAUGUUCUCCAUAUCUCUCCUUAACAUGCUCAUACAUUCUUCUACCUUUGUGAACACAUGGAGUAUAUUAUCACUUUUUAAUAUUCUGCUCCGCAUAAUUCUAGCAUCUGUAUCAUUUCUGUUUCAGUCAAUUUAUUUUUCUUCUUAUUCUGGGUCAUAUUUUCUUUUUGUUUUGUUUUGUUUUGUUUUCAGAAAGAGUCUCGCUCUGUCGCCCAGGUUGGAGUGCAGUGGCACGAUCUCGGCUCACUGAAACCUCCGUCUCCCGGGUUCAAGCGAUUCUCCUACCUCAGCGUUCCGAGUAGCUGGGACUACAGGUGCGCACCGCCACGCCCGGCUAAUUUUUGUAUUUUUUUGUAGAGACGGGGUUUUGCCAUGUUGCCCAGGCUUGUCUCGAAUUCCUGAGCUCAAGCAGUUCGCCCGCUUUGGCCCCUCAAAGUGUUGGGACUACAGGUGUAAGCCACUGUGCCCGGCCCUGGGUCGUAUUUUCCUGCCUCUUUGUAUGCCUGUUAAGGUUUGAUUGGAUGCCAGAUGUGGCUGGAAAGGUCACUCAUGAUUAGUUACUUCUACUAAUUCUCUGACUUCAUCUUCUAAUCUCCACCCCUCCCAGGUCUCUGAUUUUGCCACCCUGAACUUCUUGCACACUUCCUCGUUCAUUUGCACAUGCUGUCCCCUUUCUCUGGGGCACUCUUCCCUAGGCGGUCCCCAUGGGUUUCUCCCUAACUUCAUUUGGGUCUGUGUUCAAAUGUCACAUUACCAAAAACAUUCUAUCACCUUUCCUUGCUUUAUUUGCCUUUAAACAUUUAUAACCACUUGCCAGCCAUGUUACUUACUGAUUGUCUAUUUUUACCUCACCGCCCACCUCUGCUAAAAUGUACCAUGACAGCAUCACCGAGAACUACUGCCAUCAGCUAUAUAAUGAAACUAUUUUUAAGCAACAACAACAGCAGCAGAGAAGAGGGACCAACAGGGUCCAAUGCAUCAGAGGGGUCCAAACUGAUGCCACAGUUUUUUAAAUCCAUUCCUCCAUCGACACUUGGGUGGUUCCAUAUCUUGACUAUUGUGAAGAAUGCUGCGUGAAAAUAGAAGUGCAGCCUGAGCUUUUGCUGCGAUCUCCAAAAAAUCAUUGCCAGUUGGAUGUGGUGGCUCACACUUAUAAUCCCAGCACUUUGGGAUGUGAGGUGGGAGGAUCACUUGAGUCCAGAGGUUCGAGACCAGCCUGGGCAACAUAAGGAGAUGCUGUCUCUACCAAAAAGGAAAAAGAAAAUGAAAAAAAUCAUUGCCAAGGCAACUGUCCAGGAACUUUUCCUCCAUGUUUUCUUCUAGGAGUUUUAUAGUUUCAGAUCUUGCAUUUAGGUUUUUUUAAAAAAAUCUAUUUUGAGUUGAUUUUUGUGUAUGGUGUCAGAUAAGGGUCUAGUGUCAUUCUUUUGCAUGUGGAAAUCCAGUUUUCCUGGCAUCAUUUAUUGAGAAGACCAUCCUUGCCCCAUUUUGUCCUCUUGGAGCCCUUGACAAAAAUGAGUUGACCAUAUAUGUUUGAAAUUAUUUCUAGGCUGUCUCUUCUGUUCCGUUGGCCUAUAUGUCUUUUUUUCUGUCAGUACCAUACUGUUUUGUUUACUAUGGUUUUGAAAUAUAUAGUAAUUUUUCACUAUAUUUUUAAAUUUUUAACUUUUACUAUAUUUUAAAGUAAUUGUUAAAUCAAGAAAUGUAACGCUUCAGAAUGCCUUCAGGAUGGCUAAUCAUUAACAGUUUUCUUUCAGAAACUGUAAGAAUUUAACACAAAAAGUAGUUUGGAAGCACACAUUAAGGAGUUACCGGAAGAAGUUUCUUUUCCUAAAUGUGCCUAUAGGACCAGAUACAAAUCCAGCCCUGAAUAAUAAAUGGAAGAUUUCUAUUUGUAUUUCUUUCUUAGAAUUGUUUUGGCUAUUUGGGGUCUUUUGUGGUUCUGUAUGAAUUGUAGGAAUUUUUUUUUUCUAUUUCCAUGAAGAAUGUCAUUGGGAUUUUGAUAAGAAUUGUGUCAAGUCUGUAUAUUGCUUUGGAUAAUAGGGACAUUUUAACAAUAUUAAUUCUUCUGAUCCAUGAGCACAGAAUAUCUUUCCAUUUGUUUAUAUCUUUUUUAGUUUUUUUAUUGAUGCUUUAUACUUUUCAAUGUACAGAUCUUUCAUCUCCUUGAUUAUUUCUCCCAAGUAUUUUAUUUUAUUUUAUUUUAUUUUAUUUUAUUUUUGAUGAUAUCACAAAUAAGAUUGUGUUUGUUAUUUCUUUUUCAGCUAGGUCAUUAUUUGUGUAUAAAAAUGCUACUAAUUGGGGCCAGGCGUGGUGGCUCAUGCCUGUAAUCCCAGCACUUUGGGAUGCCGAGGUGGGUGGAUCACCUGAGGUCAGGAGUUCAAGACCGGCCUGGCCAACAUGCUGAAACACCAUCUCUACCAAAAAAUACAAAAAUUAGCCAGGCGUGGUGGUGCAUGCCUGUAAUCUCAGCUAUUUGGGAGGCUGAGACAAGAGAAUUGCAUGAACCCGAGAAGCGGAGGUUCCAGUGAGCUGAGAUUGCACCACUGCACUCCAGCCUGGACGACAGAGUAAGACUCUGUCUCAAAAAACAAACAAACAAACAAAAAAGCUAUUGAUUUUUAAAAAAUGUUCGAAACACAUUUAUUUUCUAAAUCACCUGAAGUUGACUUAUAUAAGAUAAUUUCAACAAAUAAAAUGUUCAAUGAAAAAUUGUGGUAUGCAACGUACUUAUGUCAUUACAAGUUGA
rnacentral:lncRNA from 1 species